rnacentral:tRNA from 1 species
ACCUGGCUGGCUCAGUUGGAAGAGCGUGGGACUCUUAAUCUUGGGGUUGUGGGUUCAAGCCCCAUGUUGGGUG